UACAGAGGGUGCAAGCGUUAAUCGGAGUUACUGGGCGUAAAGGGCGCGUAGGCGGCUGUUCAAGUCGGGGGUGAAAGCCUGUGGCUCAACCACAGAAUUGCCUUCGAUACUGGACGGCUCGAGACCGGAAGAGGUCAGUGGAACUGCGAGUGUAGAGGUGAAAUUCGUAGAUAUUCGCAAGAACACCAGUGGCGAAGGCGGCUGACUGGUCCGGUUCUGACGCUGAGGCGCGAAAGCGUGGGGAGCAAACAGG
rnacentral:rRNA from 1 species